rnacentral:misc_RNA from 1 species
UUGAUAAGCGUGAGGUCGGAGGUUCAAGUCCUCCCAGGCCCACCAAUUUAUGCUCGUUUUUUGCUUAUCCAAGAGUAUGAAGCUUAAGCGUAUUAAAGCCUCUUCAAUCUUUGUUUAUUUUUAAAGAUUUAAUUUUAUUAUUCAGAGAUUGUUUGUUAAAUUUAUCCCAUUAAGCUUCCAAAGAGGUUUUGUCCCUUCAGUGGUACAGAUAAAUUUACAUGAUACAAAUCAAAACAGGACAGGUAAUUCAAGUUGAUGAAUUUGGUUAUGGUUGAUUUGAGAGAGCAUUAUUUAGGGGCCGUAGCUCAGCUGGGA